UACGUAGGGGGCAAGCGUUGUCCGGAUUUAUUGGGCGUAAAGAGCGUGUAGGCGGCCAGGUAGGUCGGUUGUGAAAACUCGAGGCUCAACCUCGAGAUGUCGACCGAAACCAUCUGGCUAGAGUCCGGAAGAGGAGAGUGGAAUUCCUGGUGUAGCGGUGAAAUGCGCAGAUAUCAGGAGGAACACCGAUUGCGAAGGCAGCUCGCUGGGACGUUACUGACGCUGAGACGCGAAAGCGUGGGGAGCAAACAGG
rnacentral:rRNA from 1 species